rnacentral:rRNA from 1 species
CGACGGGCCCGCACAAGCAGCGGAGCGUGUGGUUUAAUUCGAUGUUACACGAAGAACCUUACAGGGUUUGACAUGCAAGUGGUAGGAAGCCGAAAGGUGACCGACCCUUCGGGGAGCUUGCACAGGUGCUGCAUGGCUGUCGUCAGCUCGUGUCGUGAGAUGUUCGGUUAAGUCCGCUAACGAGCGCAACCCUCGCUGUGUGUUAUAUGUGUCACACGGGACUGCCGGUCUUAAGCCGGAGGAAGGUGGGGAUGAUGUCAAGUCAGCAUGGCCUUUAUAUCCUGGGCUACACACACGCUACAAUGGCCAACACAAUAGGUUGCUAAGCCGCGAGGUGGCGCCAAUCCAUAAAGUUGGUCUCAGUUCAGAUUGUAGGCUGCAACCCGCCUGCAUGAAGAUGGAGUUGCUAGUAACCGCAGGUCAGCUAUACUGCGGUGAAUACGUUCCCGGGGCUU